ACAAAAUAAAUUUUCAGCCGUAAUGGUAAGAGUCGUAUCUCAAAACUAUUCUUUUCUAGGGUUUUUGUUCUUGCGAAUGAGGGUUGGUGACCGCUUCAAAUCACCACAUGUUGAAGUAUUUGACUCUACAGAAUCAUAAUCGAAAUGGGUAUGUUAAACUUCUAACAUUUGGCUUUUGAUCUAAGCAUCCAUGGUUUUUUAAGAUAGGAAGCCAGUGUUUCUUUCAUAAAGCUGAAGGGGUUCUUUGCAGAUGUAAACCAAGAGGGAGUAGAGUGAAGUCUACUUAAUAAUUUUGUUGAUGUAGAAAAAUAAAAUUUUUGAAUGGAAUUCGCACUUUCCUGGAAUCUUUUGAUUUUUCAAAGCCAAGUACUUCUGAUGAUGUCCACCAAGUAUUUAAAAAUCUAAAUAACAAGUAGAGGCGUAAUAGUGUUAUUAUUAGAAAAAUAUUUGCUAAUGUUUUAUGCAUGUGUUAAUCAAAAUGUUAAAUGCUUAAAACUAUACUUAGUCCAGAUUCAAAUACAUUAGGAAAAUUUAUUCAUGUUUAAGGCUUUUCGUAAUCAGAAUGUUUUUUCUUCGUUUAAACACAUCAAGCAUGUUUGUAGGUGCACAUUUAUUUAUCUGGAAGUUUAUGCUUGCC